rnacentral:rRNA from 1 species
AACGAACGCUGGCGGCAGGCCUAACACAUGCAAGUCGAGCGGACCCUUCGGGGUUAGCGGCGGACGGGUGAGUAACGCGUGGGAAUAUGCCCUUCUCUACGGAAUAGUCCUGGGAAACUGGGGGUAAUACCGUAUACGCCCUUUGGGGGAAAGGUUUAUCGGGGAAGGAUUAGCCCGCGUUGGAUUAGGUAGUUGGUGGGGUAAUGGCCUACCAAGCCGACGAUCCAUAGCUGGUUUGAGAGGAUGAUCAGCCACACUGGGACUGAGACACGGCCCAGACUCCUACGGGAGGCAGCAGUGGGGAAUCUUAGACAAUGGGGGCAACCCUGAUCUAGCCAUGCCGCGUGAGUGAUGAAGGCCUUAGGGUUGUAAAGCUCUUUCAGCUGGGAAGAUAAUGACGGUACCAGCAGAAGAAGCCCCGGCUAACUCCGUG